rnacentral:rRNA from 1 species
CAAUAGCGUAUAUUUAAGUUGUUGCAGUUAAGAAGCUCGUAGUCGGAUUUUGGCUGAGAACGAUCGGUCCGCCGUUAGGUGUGCACUGAUUGGUCUCAGCUUCCUGGUGAGGAGGUGUGCUUCACGGCCACUUAGUCACCGUGGUUACUUUGAAAAAAUUAGAGUGUUCAAAGCGGGCUUACGCUUGAAUAUAUUAGCAUGGAAUAACACCAUAGGACUCCUGUCCUAUUUCGUUGGUCUCGGGACGGGAGUAAUGAUUAAGAGGAACAGUUGGGGGCAUUCGUAUUUCAUUGUCAGAGGUGAAAUUCUUGGAUUUAUGAAAGACGAACUUCUGCGAAAGCAUUUGCCAAGGAUGUUUUCAUUAA